rnacentral:rRNA from 1 species
UACGGGAGGCAGCAGUGGGGAAUAUUGCACAAUGGGCGCAAGCCUGAUGCAGCCAUGCCGCGUGUAUGAAGAAGGCCUUCGGGUUGUAAAGUACUUUCAGCAGUGAGGAAGGUGGGUAUGUUAAUAGCAUAUUCAUUUGACGUUAGCUGCAGAAGAAGCACCGGCUAACUCCGUGCCAGCAGCCGCGGUAAUACGGAGGGUGCGAGCGUUAAUCGGAAUUACUGGGCGUAAAGCGCAUGCAGGUGGUUUAGUUAAGUCAGAUGUGAAAGCCCGGGGCUCAACCUCGGAAUUGCAUUUGAAACUGGCAAACUAGAGUACUGUAGAGGGGGUAGAAUUUCAGGUGUAGCGGUGAAAAUGCGUAGAGAUCUGAAGGAAUACCGGUGGCGAAGGCGGCCCCCUGGACAGAUACUGACACUCAGAUGCGAAAGCGUGGGGAGCAAACAGGAUUAGAUACCCUGGUAG